rnacentral:rRNA from 11 species
CAGGGCCUAAAUAAUACCCCAAAGGUGCCAGAUUGCAUCUGAAAUUGGAUGCUAAGCAGGGUCAGGUCUGGUUGGGACUUGGAUGGGAGAGCGCCAAGCAUGUCAGGGCUUAGCCAAGA